GGCCCUCUAGCUCAGCUUAUAGAGCGCUUACCGUGUUGAGGUAUGGUGUUUAUGUCGCUGGUUCGAAUCCAGCCGGAGCCC